CAAUAGCGUAUAUUUAAGUUGUUGCAGUUAAAAAGCUCGUAGUUGGAUUUCUGCUGAUCGCUGUCGGUCUGCCGUCAGGUGUGUACUGGCAGUGUUUGGCAUCUAUUCGAGAUUGGGUGUCCACUUGAUUGUGUGCACUCGAUGUCGGAGCUAAUACUUUGAGAAAAUUAGAGUGUUCCGCGCAGGCGCGUGCCUUGAAUACUGCAGCAUGGGAUAUUGGAAGGCCGAUUGAGCUUUCUUGUUGGUUCUCGGUUUGAUCGGAAUGAUUAAUAGGGAUAGUUGGGGGCAUUCGUAUUCAACUGUCAGAGGUGAAAUUCUUGGAUUUGUUGAAGACGGACUACUGCGAAAGCAUCUGCCAUGGAUGUUCUCAUUGA
rnacentral:rRNA from 1 species